ACAAACUUGGUCAUUUAGAGGAAGUAAAAGUCGUAACAAGGUUUCCGUAGGUGAACCUGCGGAAGGAUCAUUACCAAACAAAAGCUCAUGGUUGGGAAACCGGCCAGAGUGUAAACCCUCUGUGAACCAGAAAACAUACCUUUCGCUUCCGCGGUUGGCUGGAUUCCAGCUGUAAUCCCGCGGUUAGCAAUCCUCAAAACCAGUUGAUAUUCAAACACAGUCUGAACAAUUAUCAAAGAAUAAUUAAAACUUUCAACAACGGAUCUCUUGGUUCUCGCAUCGAUGAAGAACGCAGC
rnacentral:misc_RNA from 1 species